GCAGCUAUGCGGUCUGAGUUAUAAGAAUAAAUUCAAUAAAGACAUUCUAAAAACCGAAGUCAAACGGCACAGACGUGCCAGUGUUAUAAUUACAAUAGUGACAUAUUACAUGGCGACCGUGACAAGUGUCACGAACAUGUAGAUGUUCGGAAACAAAAAUAUGUUAAAAUAAAUCAUAUAAAAAAAAAAGCGGAGAGCGAGAGAGAGAGCGGCGAGAGCGGACAACAACAGCAGCACCACAGCAGGCACCACUGGAAGCAGCAGUAACAUCAAAAAAAAUUAACAACGAAAUGGAGCGGAACUGAACGCAAAAUAGCAAAGACCUGCCCGAACGACUGCGAGGGACCUCUACACUCGCCGCAUUGCGAGUACACCUGUGCAGCCUGCACCGGUGCCCCAACAGAGAAGCAGUAGCAGCCUGUGCAGCCAGCACCGGCCUCGUCUAGCGCAACAAGCUGGACCCGGAGCAGUGAACCGACAGCGCUUCCUAGAGCGCCCACCGCCAAACAAAAUUUUUUUUUCUAAAUGCCUGCGAUGCAUACAACUUAACUGUAAGAUCUAAAAUUGUAAAAUUGAGCGGAAUAACAUCUGCCCAAUUAGAGUGAGGCCUGUAAAGCCACACAAACACUAGGCAGAAAGAAAUGUAAAAACUGAAAAAAAAAAUAUAUAUAAAUUAUAAAUUAA